AGUAGAAUUGCUGGGUCAUAUGGUAACUCCAUGUUUAACUUUUUGAGAAACUGCUAAACUGUUUUCCAAAGCAGCUGCACCAUUUUACGUUCUCACCAGCAAU
rnacentral:pre_miRNA from 1 species